rnacentral:tRNA from 1 species
UGGAUCGGUAGCUCAGUCGGUAGAGCAACGGAUUGAAGCUCCGUGUGUCGGCAGUUCGAUUCUGUCCCGAUCCAU